rnacentral:tRNA from 1 species
GGCGAGAUUCCCGAGCGGCCAAAGGGGACGGACUGUAAAUCCGUUGGCUUUACGCCUUCGUAGGUUCGAAUCCUACUCUCGCCA